rnacentral:rRNA from 1 species
UACGUAGGUGGCAAGCGUUGUCCGGAUUUACUGGGCGUAAAGAGCGCGCAGGCGGUCGUUCAAGUCGCGUGUGAAAGCCCCCGGCUCAACUGGGGAGGGUCACGCGAUACUGAUCGACUCGAAGGCAGGAGAGGGAAGUGGAAUUCCCGGUGUAGUGGUGAAAUGCGUAGAUAUCAGGAGGAACACCAGUGGCGAAGGCGGUGCUCUGGGCCGGAACUGACGCUGAGGAGCGAAAGCGUGGGGAGCAAACAGG